GCUUACGGCCAUACCACCCUGAACACGCCCGAUCUCGUCUGAUCUCGGAAGCUAAGCAGGGUCGGGCCUGGUCAGUACUUGGAUGGAGACCGCCUGGGAAUACCAGGUGCUGUAAGCU
ensembl:rRNA 5S_rRNA 5S ribosomal RNA